rnacentral:rRNA from 1 species
AGUGAACGCUGGCGGUAGGCCUAACACAUGCAAGUCGAACGGCAGCACAGGAGAGCUUGCUCUCUGGGUGGCGAGUGGCGGACGGGUGAGGAAUACAUCGGAAUCUACUCUGUCGUGGGGGAUAACGUAGGGAAACUUACGCUAAUACCGCAUACGACCUACGGGUGAAAGCAGGGGAUCUUCGGACCUUGCGCGAUUGAAUGAGCCGAUGUCGGAUUAGCUAGUUGGCGGGGUAGAGGCCCACCAAGGCGACGAUCCGUAGCUGGUCUGGAAGGGUGAUCAGCCAAACUGGAACUGAGCCACGGUCCAGGCUCCUACGGGAGGCAGCAGUGGGGAAUAUUGGACAAUGGGCGCAAGCCUGAUCCAGCCAUACCGCGUGGGUGAAGAAGGCCUUCGGGUUGUAAAGCCCUUUUGUUGGGAAAGAAAUCCAGCUGGCUAAUACCCGGUUGGGAUGACGGUACCCAAAGAAUAAGCACCGGCUAACUUCGUGCCAGCAGCCGCCGUAA